UUACUAAUCAGAUGUAAUUAGGACCAAAAGUCAAAUGAUUAAUACUUGAAGGGGCAGAUUGGAAGGAUUAGUAACUUCAUGGACGAAAAUUCAAAUGACCUAUAUUUGCAGGGACGAAAGACAUAUUUAAGCCAAUGUUUUAUUAAGCAUGUAAUUGCUACGUAGCACCUACACGUUUAAUGGUAGUGUCCGACACAACACCGACACAUGUGAUUAUAUUCGAUUAUGCCAUUGUGUUGACGUGUCUGUAUCAAUAUUGUGUCUAGCACCUACACGUUUAAUGGUAGUGUCCGACACAACACCGACACAUGUGAUUAUAUUCGAUUAUGCCAUUGUGUUGACGUGUCUGUAUCAAUAUUGUGUCUAGUGCCCGUGUUUGUGUUAGUGAUUCAUUGCGUAUUUGUGUGUCUAGUGCCCGUGUUUGUGUUAAUGAUUCAUUGCGUAUUUGCAAUGUGAAUUAUGAUAAGUGUCAAAUUUGUAUUCAUUUAAUCCCGAUCAACAAUGUGGGAUUCGUUUGGAUUAACUUAUUUGAGCUUAUCUAUUGAGAUAAACAUUUGUGAGAUUGUCUGAUAAAGUUUAUGAAAACAGCUUAUGCAUGCCCUAAGUUGUUUUCAGCUUAUUUCUAUAAGUUCUCCAAGAUAAUGUGGAAUUGGUUUGGAUUGAUAUACUUGGGUUUAUCUACUGACUUAAACACUUGUAUGAUUGUUGAUAGAGUUUAUGAAAACAACUUAUGACGUGUCCAUAAACUGUUUUUAGCUUAUUUCUGCAAGUUUUGCAAGAUAACUUAUGAAAUCAGCUUAUAGGAAAACGGUUUUGGCUUUAUUUAACUUUUCCAAUCCGUGCUAAAGAAGAUUUAGUUUCAUAAGUUCUGUGUAGGGAGACUGCCAAUACUAUUGAUUAUAAAUUGUACAAUAGGAAACUUGUAACAACUUGUAUCAAUCAAUUAGCUAGAGAUGAUUUUUUAUACAAGCUUAGUUUUGUGGUUAAGCCGCGGCAGGGUUGUUAAUUUUACAAGUUUCUGUUGUGUAGCAAUGCGACAUGGUGAUAUGACAGAAUAGACAAC
rnacentral:lncRNA from 1 species